rnacentral:tRNA from 1 species
CGGACUAUAGCUCAAUGGUAGAGCAGCACUCUUAUAAGGUGUUGGUUACUGGUUCGAAUCCAGUUAGUCCGA